rnacentral:rRNA from 1 species
GAUGAACGCUGGCGGCGUGCCUAAUACAUGCAAGUCGAACGGGGAGUAGCAAUACUCUUAGUGGCGAACGGGCGAGUAACGCGUUGGUACCUGCCCCGAAGCGGGGGAUAACGGACCGAAAGGUCCGCUAAUACCCCAUGUGCUCGGUAACGAGUAAAGGUGAAAACCACUUUGGGAGGGGCCUGCGUCCCAUCAGCUAGUUGGUAAGGUAACGGCUUACCAAGGCGAUGACGGGUAGGGGACCUGAGAGGGUGGCCCCCCACAAUGGAACUGAAACACGGUCCAUACACCUACGGGUGGCAGCAGUAGGGAAUAUUGGUAAUGGGCGCAAGCCUGAACCAGCAACGCCGCGUGUGCGAUGACGGCCUUCGGGUUGUAAAGCACUUUUGACUGGGACGAGGAAGGACGGUACCGGUCGAAUCAGCCUCGGCUAACUACGUG